rnacentral:misc_RNA from 1 species
CACAGGGGUUGAGUGGAUGGAGCGGGGCCCGAGCACGGUGCUUCGCGAGAAGCCAGCUCAAAGACCCACUUCAGAACUCGAUAAUGAUCCUUCCGCAGGUUCACCUACGGAAA